UUACGGGAGGCAGCAGUCGAGAAUUUUUCACAAUGGGCGCAAGCCUGAUGGAGCGACGCCGCGUGGGGGAUGAAUGGCUUCGGCCCGUAAACCCCUGUCAUUCGCGAUCAAACGUUAUUAUUUAAAAGAUGAUGGCCUGAUAGUAGCGGAAGAGGAAGGGACGGCUAACUCUGUGCCAGCAGCCGCGGUAAUACAGAGGUCCCGAGCGUUGUUCGGAUUCACUGGGCGUAAAGGGUGCGUAGGUGGUGAGGUAAGUCGGAUGUGAAAUCUCGGAGCUCAACUCCGAAACGGCAUUGGAAACUACCUUGCUGGAGGGUUGGAGGGGGGACUGGAAUGCUUGGUGUAGCAGUGAAAUGCGUAGAUAUCAAGCGGAACACCAGUGGCGAAGGCGAGUCCCUGGACAACACCUGACACUGAGGCACGAAAGCUAGGGGAGCAAACAGGAUUAGAUACCCCGGUAGC
rnacentral:rRNA from 1 species